rnacentral:rRNA from 1 species
CCCUUAGAUGUUCUGGGCCGCACGCGCGCUACACUGACGGAGGCAGCGAGCGUGUCCUUCGCCGGCAGGUGCGGGCAAUCUUGCGAGUCUCCGUCGUGCUGGGGAUAGAUGGUUGCAAUUGUCGAUCUUGAACGAGGAAUUCCUAGUAAGCGCGAGUCAUCAGCUCGCGCUGAUUACGUCCCUGCCCUUUGUACACACCGCCCGUCGCUACUACAGAGUGCCCGUGUCCAAGAAACGGUCGGACCUGUGCGGCCUCUCCGGGCGACCGGAGGGCCGUUACGGGGAAGACCCUUUAUUUGACGCGGGUCGAUGAAGUAAAAGUCGGAACA